rnacentral:misc_RNA from 1 species
AAGGAUCAUUACUGAGUAACUGGGUUCGCACUCGUGCUGCCCGUUCUCCCACCCUGUGUAUAUGUACCUUCGUUGCCUCGGCGGGCCUGCGGCCCCGUCCGCUGCCGGCUUCGGCUGGCUAGCGCCCGCCAGGGGACCAACCAAACUCUAUUUUAACGUGUCGUCUGAGUACAACGCAAAUAAAUUAAAACUUUCAACAACGGAUCUCUUGGUUCUG